rnacentral:lncRNA from 1 species
GCUUAGAGGUCCAAACCAAUCAAGCAUUGAAACGUGUCUUGUUUAGUUGGCCUAGACGGUUUGUGUUUCUUUCUGAAAACCCCAUGCGGUGAUUAUUACAAAUUAGUCUCAUGAUCUCUCGUUCCCCUCAUCUCAAAUCGAGUUCGUACCCCCCAUUUCCCCACGGUCAACUAAAAUUCCUAACCCUAGAAUUCUACCAGCGACGAAGGUCCACUGAUCACCCGCGUCGUCGUCGAGGCAAACAGAGAGAAGGGGGAGACGAAGAAGUAUGGGGGGCUUUUUGUGAAUUUUACGGGCAGCCUCUCUGCCUUUGUACCGGGGACCUGUGUACAAACCGUUCCAGCUCGGAGGGCCUUUUGCAAAAUUUCCACGGGCCCAAGGGGACUCCGUAGUUGGGCUAAAGUGCUCAUGUAUCUCAAUGUUUAGGAGUAGUUUUCCCAUUAUUAUAAGAAGUUGGACUUAAAUGGUCCUACCUCUCAAGUUGUUGGACCGGUGGUGCAAUUACCUUAUUUUCAUGCCGGAAGGCUGCAAGCCUACAACUGUCAGCCCGGUUGACUUUAGGGUUUGUUUAUUUGUGCCAUAUACAACCCUACAAAUGUUGGCAAGAUUUGGCUUACCAAUUUUUUGGUCAAGGAUUCCUUGGUCCUCACUUUGCCAAUUACUCCUUGCAAUUCUAAAUUCUUGUCGUGGUUUCAGUUCACAACAAGAAUUUAGGAUCGGAGGUAUAUACGAGAUAGAUGAGAUAGCUAGCUCUUCUCCGUCUCUCUACCUAUCUCUACAUUCUCUCCUCCUUAAACCCAUUCUCUUCUAAAAGAACCUACCCGCCAGCCAUUUCCGGCGUACGCCUCCGCCACGCCAACUCCAGCAACCACCGGCGGCACCACGUAGACGCCCCUCCCGCGGACCCCUACCUAUGUUCUCCCUCGGCUCGACGGUUCCUAGCCACCAGACCGAUGUCGUUUGCUAGAAGCGCCGGCGCUCGACAGAAGACCCCUCCACCCCGUCAACUCGCAGCUCUCUGGAUCUCUCCCUUUUAUUGGAGUCAUGAGCCGCUGCCUUAUCUCUCGGGCUCCCCGCUGACCGGAGGAUCGAUAUUGCAGUAGGCUCGGAGCAAGACGGCUUUUCCUAGAACUUUUUUUGGAACUCGAAGAACCGGUCCGGUUAUCUUAGAAUAACCGUGCUUUAUAUUAAACAAACAAAGUACCACUAGUACAAACACAUGCAGAAACAAAUAGACUGACCAGGAGAAGACAAUAGUCCAAGAAACAAUGCAGAGAAGACUCAAAAAAAAAUAAAAAAAAUACACAUAGUAUCUUAGGAGUCUCUGCACACAUAAAGCCGUCGCCAAAAUCCAGCGAUGCCGUGGCGCGCGUUGCAAAGAAGCACAAGCUCCAGCAAUGCAAGAUCCAGAGCAGCACCGUUGCCAAAGAGACUUUUUGAGCCGAUGAGCAAGCCCGCUGCAAACAAGGAGCCACUUAUCGAUGUUGUACGUCGACUGGAAAACACCUCUUUGCUGAACUGGAUCUGGAUCCGUCGCAUCUCACCAAAUAGAUCGGAAGAAAGUACUGGAUCUGUCACAAUCGAACCACAAUACCUUCUCCUGACCACCAUCUUUUCCUAGCCAUUGACGCCGCUACAGAAUACAACAAGCACCAGCGAACAAAGAGAGUACCACUAGGACAAACACAUGCGUAAACUAAUAGACUGGCCAGGAGAAGACAAGACACUACUACAAAACGGUCUAUAUCUCACGACCCAUCAGUAACGGGUCGGGCGUGACCGUGACUGAUGAAUAACAUCAGUGUCGGUUGCGUCCGCGACCGUUACUGAUGAAUAACAUCAGUGUCGGUCGUGGCCGCGACCGUUACUGAUGAACAGAGCGGGGUCUGUCAGUCCCC